AUGUAUAGUUGAAAUAACCCUUCAAGUAUAAUUUAAUAACAUAUCUCAUUAGCAUUUACUCACAUAUUUUAUGAGUAUUUAAGAAGCAUACUACACUAAACCCAAAAACCCAUGUUUACCAAAUAAAAUAUACUGCAUCAUUAUUUAUUCAUUUGAUAAGUAUUUACUGUGCAAUGCAUUAUUAUAUGAGCAUGGGAAACACAGGUUUCCUAAAAAGUAUAGCUAUUUCUAGGACAUUGCUAUCUAUUUAGGACUUAACCUCUACCAAAGUUUAUCUAAAAACUCCAACCAUUUGUUUAGCUAAUCUCUAGCAAUGGUUCCUCCUGGAAAGCAUGAUUAAGCCUGACUUAGCAAGAGAAAACUUCAUUUCUAAACAGUUCCCAAGCCUUGUAUCCUUGGAGUUAUCAUCUCCAUCUUAAUCAAGCUAUGUUUGCUGCAGACUUCACAUUCCAGAACCUAUCACCACUACUUCCUUCACAGAAAGUGCUCUAAAUAAUCAAACAUAUUACCAGAAAGAGAUGUGAGUGUUUCUUUAAGUCUGGUCUCACGGUCCCAAGAUGACCCGUCUGGUCCCAAGAUGUGGGGAAA